AAUUCAAAACAAUUGUCCUAACCUUUUAUUUCUUGUUGAUUUCAUUCUAUUUGAUCAACUUUCCUCGGUUCAAACUUAAAAAUUAAAUAAAAAAAAAUAAGGUGAUUCUUUAAUCGGUACGUCUAGCGUCGAUAGGUAGGCAAUAUGUUUUACACCAAAACGAGGUCAACUUAUAAUCAUACUAAUAAAUUCAUAUUAUUAUUUCUUUGUAAUAGAUUUAUUAUUUCGCCACAAUAAUUUCAUGUGAUUUUUUGAAUAAUACUUGAUAAUAAGAGAAAAUUAUUCAAAUUAUAAAUUAAUUUACGGUGCAUAGGCAACAUAUUAUACAUUAAAACAUAGCUAAUGGAAUAAUAAUAAGUGGAUAUUAUUAUUUCUUUCCCUUCUGUAUAUAUUAUUUAACCUAUUCACAAAAUUAUUGUUUAUAAAAGAAAAAAGGAUUUGAAUUUUAAAUCGGGCAAGAUACUUGUUGCGAACUAUCUCCAUUACAGGAAACGGUGAUACUAAUAUUAACAUUUUGUGUAUACGAGGUGUGGCUAUUAAGUAACGAAGGGGUUAUUCGUUUUUUUGUUUAGAGUUAACCGUUUACAAGAUAGUCGAGAAGAUGUUGAACACGUUUUACUUUCAUAAUCGCCCUUCCACGGAUGAAAAUAUGAAAAAUAUCGGUGAUUUUGAUCGAUCUGACGUACUUUCUAAGUAAGGAACUGACAGAAAAAGACUUACUGCAUUGUUUCGAACAAUACUAUGUAGAAAUAGAGGAGGAAAAUAAAUAUUUCAUAUCUCUA